rnacentral:rRNA from 1 species
UCAGGAUGAACGCUGGCGGCGUGCUUAACACAUGCAAGUCGAGCGAAGCAUUUAAGACGAUCUCUUCGGAUUGAGUCUUAUAUGACUGAGCGGCGGACGGGUGAGUAACGCGUGGGUAACCUGCCUCAUACAGGGGGAUAACAGUUAGAAAUGACUGCUAAUACCGCAUAAGCGCACAGGGCUGCAUGGCCUGGUGUGAAAAACUCCGGUGGUAUGAGAUGGACCCGCGUCUGAUUAGCUAGUUGGAGGGGUAACGGCCCACCAAGGCGACGAUCAGUAGCCGGCCUGAGAGGGUGAACGGCCACAUUGGGACUGAGACACGGCCCAGACUCCUACGGGAGGCAGCAGUGGGGAAUAUUGCACAAUGGGGGAAACCCUGAUGCAGCGACGCCGCGUGAAGGAAGAAGUAUCUCGGUAUGUAAACUUCUAUCAGCAGGGAAGAAAAUGACGGUACCUGACUAAGAAGCCCCGGCUAACUACGUGCCAGCAGCCGCGGUAAUACGU